GACGAACGCUGGCGGCGUGCCUAACACAUGCAAGUCGAGCGAGAGGAGUUCUUCGGAACGAAUCUAGCGGCGGACGGGUGAGUAACACGUGGGCAACCUGCCUUAUAGAGGGGAAUAGCCUUCCGAAAGGAAGAUUAAUACCGCAUAACGUUGUAGCUUCGCAUGAAGCAACAAUUAAAGGAGAAAUCCGCUAUAAGAUGGGCCCGCGGCGCAUUAGCUAGUUGGUGAGGUAACGGCUCACCAAGGCGACGAUGCGUAGCCGACCUGAGAGGGUGAUCGGCCACAUUGGGACUGAGACACGGCCCAG
rnacentral:rRNA from 1 species